CUCCAGCUCUACUCGACUCAGCCU
rnacentral:siRNA from 1 species